GUCUAUGGGCCAUACCACCCUGAAAGCGCCCGAUCUCGUCUGAUCUCGGAAGCUAAACAGGGACUGGCUUGGUUAGUACCUGGAUGGGAGACCGCCUGGGAAUACCAGGUGUUGUAGGCU
rfam:Xenopus tropicalis strain Nigerian scaffold_1360_contig_2, whole genome shotgun sequence.